UAUAAGUUAGAUUCACAUUCUGAUCGGCUGGAACAAAAACUUGAGUUCAUGGGCCCAGCGGAGAAUUUAAACUCUGAUUUUAACUGAUGAAGAUCUAGUGACUGCUGAACAGUCUCGGCCAGUUGAAGUCUCUAAGGAGAUCAAUCUGUCAAGUAAAACAAUAAAAUCGAAACUGGUCUGAUCAAGCAGGGGCAAGAUUUUUCCACCUCUCAUUCAUGCCUCCACUACAUGGUAAUGUGUUGGGAGAGCACCAUCAGAAUCCAUAAGCCCCCAUGCUGGAUGGGGAAUUCUGAAAGCUGCUAUCACAAAUGGUGUAGGAGAAGAG